CUCCAGACUCCUACGGGAGGCAGCAGUGGGGGAUAUUGCACAAUGGGGGGAACCCUGAUGCAGCGACGCCGCGUGGGUGAAGGAGUAUUUCGGUAUGUAAAGCCCUCUCGGCAGGGAAGAAGCAAGACGGUACCUGACUAAGAAGCCCCGGCUAACUACGUGCCAGCAGCCGCGGUAAUACGUAGGGGGCAAGCGUUAUCCGGAUUUACUGGGUGUACAGGGAGCGUAGACGGUUCUGCAAGCCAGAUGUGAAAGCCCGGGGCUCAACCCCGGGACUGCAUUUGGAACUGUAAGGCUAGAGUGUCGGAGAGGCAGGCGGAAUUCCUAGUGUAGCGGUGAAAUGCGUAGAUAUUAGGAGGAACACCAGUGGCGAAGGCGGCCUGCUGGACGAUGACUGACGUUGAGGCUCGAAAGCGUGGGGAGCAAACAGGAUUAGAUACCCGAGUA
rnacentral:rRNA from 1 species